UUCAUUCAAUGCACAUCAUUAGUCCAAAACCAAAACUGGGCAUAUGCAGACCUUCAUCAAUAUGGAAUUUUUUCGAAAAAUUCAAGAAAUAAUAGCCCAAAAGAAACUUCAAAUGAAAAUCAGUUUAGCAUCAGAAUAGAAAACUCCAGUCUCUGUAUAAAUUUGUUCCCCUUCAUUUUGUUACAUUUUUGCAAUAUCAGUAAAUAUACAGAGCUUUCGCUUCAUUCUUCUCUCCGGCUCUGCAUCAAAUAUAAGAACAGAGGAUUCUGUCAUAAGUCUGUCCCUGCAAGAAAACCAGUUCAUAAUCAAAAUGGGGGCAAUUUCACAACAGUUUUUUUUUGUGUAAUCCGAUAA